CAAGGUCAUCCUUCAAGGUCAGAGGUAAAACAUAUUUGUCCCAAAUCGCUUAUUUUAUUAAUACUUUUGAAAUAUUGAAGAUAGCAACUUGAUAUUUGGCAUGCAUGUGUAUCUCAUGGAGCUGCACAAUUUGAGUGGUGAAAGGUCAAGGUCAUCCUUCAAGGUCAAGGUCAUCCUUAAAGGUCAAAUAUAUGGGUCAAAAUUGCUCAUGUAAUGUCACUUCUGCAAUAUUGAAGCUAGCAAUUUUAUAUUUGAAAUGCAUGUGUAUCUCAUGGAGCUGCACAUUUUGAGUGGUGAAGGGUCAAGGUCAUCCUUCAAGGUCAAACAUUAUUUAGGGGGACAUUGUGUUUCACAAACGCAUCUUGUUUCAAAUUAUCUUUAUUCAACAACAUUUUGUAUAACGAUAAAACAACUCACUCUUAGAGAUACGUCUAGUAGUGAUGCACUGCUUUCAACCAACAAACCAUCUGCCUCGUUCUCGAAACUCAAGUCUGGUGAACGGUUAUCUGACAUUUCCUCAGUUUCUGGUGUGGAAUUCGUCUCAUCUGCUUCAGGGCCAUUUUCCAGAGUCUGUAAGGUAAACAAAUAAAAUUAAAUCAGCACAUCAAAGACCUAGAAAUACACAUACUUUUUCAAACUAACAUGAAAGAAUGAUGUUCAGAUACGUAAUAUUUAUGCUUCUGUAUCAUGUUGUAAACACCGUCAGAUUCUAUACCGAUAGAGUAACUGACCCAUGUUCAUUCUUGAAACCUCGUAUAGCCUAGUGGCAACAUAUCCGCUUCAAAAUAUCAGAUACCAUUGGUUCGAUCCUCGGCUGUGAGCUACAUAAAAUAAAUCAUGAACUGUGCCAUGGGUAUGUCUGCCAUUAUCCCAUGCUUGAUUGUACCACAAGGAAUCACUGAUUUGAAUAGUAAGCUCGAUUUAAUAAUCCAUCGGAAUCGUUUUAAGGUGAUAAUCUGAUUACACGCAGUGCGCAAUCUGAUUAUGUGAUGACUUAAAUUAGUAUAAGUAUUAA